rnacentral:lncRNA from 10 species
CUCUUAUGAAGAAACCGUUCUUACGGAAGCCCAGAUGAGACAACUUGAGACAGGAUUCAGAAACGCUGAUUUUAGUAACCUUAACCCUCGGCCCUUGGUGGGAACUUCGGCUCUGUGGGAAUUAGUCUUUGGGGGACUGAUGGUCAUGCUGAAAUCUUAUUGCGUAGGAAAUUAAGUACAACAAAGAAGACCCGUCGUGAGAGGAGAGUGCGGAAGAAAUGCGAAGUCUACGGGAGGUGGCAGCUGCAGAAGCUUGGUGUUGGAUUUGGCGUUAGGAGACCGGGAGGAGCCCAGCUUCCGGUCCAGACGGUUAUCUUGUUGACUUGCACGACUGCAAACGCCCUGAGCUGCUUUUGCAGUCUGAAACAUCAGCGAUCCCAUCAAAAUAUUCUGUUUCUUGGGAUAUAAGAAACAUCCCAAGGCGGGCUGUAGAGCGAGAGAUUUGGACUCGAUUUAAAUACAGACAAAAUAGUAUGCAUUUACUAACACCACAUCUCACCCCCACGAAACUUGGUAAGGGCAGCAACAGAACUUUAUCUGCCAUAUGCACUCCUGUAUUCCUAUUACCAAAUAGUGCCAGGGACUAAGUGAAUAUUUGUCCAAUGAAUGAGUUUUAAGUAGGAAACGUUUGCAUAGAAUCAUUUUGUUUCUUUUGGAGUUCAAAUCUUCGGAUAUUUUACCCUUCCCAAUCCAAAGAAAAGUCUCUGAGUGAAGAGAUGGGAACAAAAUGUAAGUUAAAUAUGUUGCUUUAACAACUGUUUAUUGAACUCGUGCUAUAGACUAUAGAAUGAUGAGCAAAACCAGGCACAGUUUCGGCCCUGGAAGAGGAAAGGCAGGCAUAUAUUUAUCAACCAAGCCCAACAAAAUAAUGGCACACAGCAGUUGCUGCCCAAGCCUGGGUGCUCCUGGUGGUCCUGCACGAUCGGCUGUG